GGCAUAAUGACGCUAUCUUAUCGACAGUCCAAAGGUUACCGAGGGAGCGGUGCCUGCGGCUGGUUGCAUAAGUGUCGUAAUGUAUGAGAGGGUACAUCCGAGAAUGAGAUACGAGGAUAACCAUCGAGCGUCGGAUAAAUGCGUGCGCACAGUCGGACUGUCCACGCGGGAAUGAAUUGGAUUUUU